AAAUUGAUAUGAGCGAAUUGCCAAGGGAUCGCUGAAAACAGCGAUCCAUUUCGCGACCCAAUAGAUAGGGACAAAUAGCCAGAGGGUCCCUGCCAUUUUGUCCUUCUGUACAAGCAUUGAACUUCGCGUCCGCAGUUGCUUUACCAAACCCUAUCUUCGCUCUCCCGGCAAGAAUAAAGACAGAUCUAGUAGGAGAUCUGAUGCAGAACUUUCAUUUCUUUCGUGAACUUCCCUGCCAUUUUGUUCACCAGCUAUAUAUACACAUAGAGAGGGAAUCAUAUAUGUAUUUGGAGAGAGAAAGGGGUAAGAGGGAAAGGGAGAUUUGCCCACAGGAAAUUGUGGGUAUGGGUGGCUUGGCAAGGAAAACCUUUGAGUAGGUAAAAGAAAUAUCCUUGCCCAAACCACCCAUUCCUGUGAUUUCAUGAGGUGUCUCCCUUCCUUUCUUGUCCUGCUUAGUUCUAUCUCAUCUCAUCCUGUGCUGCUCUCUUAUGCAAAUCUAUACAGGUCCUUGGACAUCUAUUUGGAAGGAAGUUGUGGAAGCAACAAAAUAGCUUUGUUUAUAUUAUUGCCUUUGUUGAUGCUUUCAUUUUGUAAAUCACAUCUUAUCAUUUAAAAGAAGCUUUUUCAUUUAUUUAGUUUUAAUUUAAUUAACUUCUUUCAUUUAACUAUCUGGAAAAACCUUGGAAGUUGCAGUUGAAUUUGCUGAAAAUAACUGUUAUAUGAGCCAACACAAUAUUGUUUCACAAUAGCUGCUUGAAGAUAUGACAGGUUUUAGCUUAAACAAUAAUUUUUAACAGCCCCUCUUUUCUGGAUUUGGGUUCAAAAUUUUGAGAGUAAGCCUUAUGUUGGAUCUUAGUAGCAGAGCACGAAAUGGAUCAGGUUUAGACCGAAAUUUAAUCUGAUCAGAUCUGAUCUUAUCUGAAUUCUAUUGCACUGAGGUUGGCUCGUAACUUAAGCCUAUUUCGCCGAUCGUAUUCAACUAAAGGUCCAUUGUCACUCAUACAAAAUGUAUGGGUUGGAUAUGGAUUCUAUCUAUACUCUGGACUGGGAUCCCAAUAUGGACCAUGAAGCUGAAAUCCACUCCAUACCAUGCCCUACUUGGUUGUCUUGGAGAAAUUGAUUCAAAAUUAUAAUUGGUGGCUUUCGCUUGGCCUUUUGCUUAUAUAAUUAGUGAACUACCUAAAAGUGUUUAAAGGAAUCUUGAAUUUGACAUUUUGGACAAAAUUUCUAAAAUCUAUGUAAAUGUGAGAUAAUGUUGACCUAAAAGUACUUAUUUUUCACAUUUUGGA